AUGUUGGAUCUUGAACUCGUGCUCGCUGGCGACGAAUUCACCAGGGAAGGAGGGGAUCUAGAGCUCACUAGUUCUUGGAAAGGCGACGCGGAGGGGGAGAUCAAGCUCAACGGCGCUCGGGGGUGCGGCAAUAGAGGGGAGCUCAAACUCAUCACCGGUCACUCGGGGAGGAGAGAAAGGAAAGAAAGAGCUCAUCGCCGGCCGCACUGGGUGGGGGUAAGAGAGAAGGAGGAGAGGAAGAGAGGAAGAAGAAGAAGAUGACGUGGAUUUU
rnacentral:lncRNA from 1 species